rnacentral:tRNA from 2 species
GCGGGGGUACCUGAGCUUGGAAAAAGGGCAGGGCUUAGGACCCUGUUGCGUAGGCAUACGAGGGUUCAAAUCCCUCCCCCCGCA